AGGGGCUUGUGAUGAUCAUUAUAAUAAUUGCCUACAUUGAUUGAUUUUCAUAGUGAUGAAGAAAUAUAUGAAUCUGAGGCCUUG